UGCCAGCAGCCGCGGUAAUACGGAGGGUGCGAGCAUUAAUCGGAUUUACUGGGCGUAAAGAGCGCGUAGGCGGGAAAGAAAGUCAGAUGUGAAAGCCCAGAGCUCAACUCUGGAAUAGCAUCCGAAACUUCUUUUCUUGAGGAUAGGCGGAGAAAGCGGAAUUCCACGUGUAGCGGUGAAAUGCGUAGAUAUGUGGAAGAACACCGGUGGCGAAGGCGGCUUUCUAGCUUACUCCUGACGCUGAGGCGCGAAAGCAAGGGGAGCAAACAGGAUUAGAUA
rnacentral:rRNA from 1 species